UCUGUCUUCUUACCGUUCUGGAGGAUCUUGGUGGGCAAUACAGAGUUAUGUGUGUUCACUGUAAGGGCAGACCAACAAGAAAUUCUUCCUGCUUUUGAACUAUCUCUCUUUCAUGGAGAUAUUUCUUCCCAGUUGCCAGGAAGAAAUUGUGGUAACUGGAGUGAGUAGGGAGGGACAAGGCAAAAAAUAAAAAUAAAAUAAAAAGA
ensembl:snoRNA small nucleolar RNA U85